UCUUCCGCAAUGGACGAAAGUCUGACGGAGCAACGCCGCGUGAGUGAUGAAGGUUUUCGGAUCGUAAAGCUCUGUUGGUAGGGAAGAACAAGUGCCGUUCAAAUAGGGCGGCACCUUGACGGUACCUAACCAGAAAGCCACGGCUAACUACGUGCCAGCAGCCGCAGUAAUACGUAGGUGGCAAGCGUUUUCCGGAAUUAUUGGGCGUAAAGGGCUCGACGGCGGUUUCUUAAGUCUGAUGGGAAAGCCCCCGGCUCAACCGGGGAGGGUCAUUGGAAACUGGGGAACUUGAGUGCAAAAGAGGAGAGUGGAAUUCCACGUGUAGCGGUGAAAUGCGUAGAGAUGUGGAGGAACACCAGUGGCGAAGGCGACUCUCUGGUCUGUAACUGACGCUGAGGAGCGAAAGCGUGGGGAGCGAACAG
rnacentral:rRNA from 1 species